rnacentral:rRNA from 1 species
AUUGAACGCUGGCGGCAGGCUUAACACAUGCAAGUCGGGCGGAAACGAAGAUAGCUUGCUAUCAGGCGUCGAGCGGCGGACGGGUGAGUAACGCGUAGGAAUCUACCUAAUGGUGGGGGAUAGCUCGGGGAAACUCGGAUUAAUACCGCAUACACUCUACGGAGGAAAGCAGGGGCUCUUAGGACCUUGCGCCAAUAGAUGAGCCUGCGUGAGAUUAGCUAGUUGGUGAGGUAAUGGCUCACCAAGGCGACGAUCUCUAGCUGGUCUGAGAGGAUGAUCAGCCACACUGGGACUGAGACACGGCCCAGACUCCUACGGGAGGCAGCAGUGGGGAAUAUUGGACAAUGGGGGCAACCCUGAUCCAGCCAUGCCGCGUGUGUGAAGAAGGCCUUCGGGUUGUAAAGCACUUUCAGCGAGGAGGAAGGCUGUAUGGCUAAUACCCAUACAGAUUGACGUUACUCGCAGAAGAAGGACCGGCUAACCCCGUGCC